GAAAGCAUUUGCCAAGGACGUUUUCAUUAAUCAAGAACGAAAGUUAGGGGAUCGAAGAUGAUCAGAUACCGUCGUAGUCUUAACCAUAAACUAUGCCGACUAGGGAUCGGGUGUUGUCCUUUUUUUGGCGCACUCGGCACCUUACGAGAAAUCAAAGUUUUUGGGUUCUGGGGGGAGUAUGGUCGCAAGGCUGAAACUUAAAGGAAUUGACGGAAGGGCACCACCAGGAGUGGAGCCUGCGGCUUAAUUUGACUCAACACGGGGAAACUCACCAGGUCCAGACACAAUAAGGAUUGACAGAUUGAGAGCUCUUUCUUGAUUUUGUGGGUGGUGGUGCAUGGCCGUUCUUAGUUGGUGGAGUGAUUUGUCUGCUUAAUUGCGAUAACGAACGAGACCUUAACCUACUAAAUAGUGCUGCUAGCAUUUGCUGGUACGACACUUCUUAGAGGGACUACCGAUUUCAAGUCGGUGGAAGUUUGAGGCAAUAACAGGUCUGUGAUGCCCUUAGACGUUCUGGGCCGCACGCGCGCUACACUGACGGAGCCAGCGAGUAUUAACCUUGGCCGAGAGGUCCGGGAAAUCUUGUGAAACUCCGUCGUGCUGGGGAUAGAGCAUUGUAAUAUUGCUCUUCAACGAGGAUUCCUAG
rnacentral:rRNA from 1 species